AAACAACCUCGAAACUAACAAAAUCCUUGGUUAGGCAGUAGCCGGCCUAAACAUGGUCCUAAUGAAUGAUGCGACAAAGUAAAUAAAAGGGACAUAAAUAGAAGAAAAAUUCAACUCAUGGUCAUGUUCUUUUAUCCUUCAUUCACUUAACUAUAAUCCCCCGUGACAAGUAGGUGCACCAAACAUUGAUCCAACAAACCAAACAAAGAACCUAAUCAGAUAAAUGUUCGCACAUUUAAAGGAGAGGGCCAACUAGGGAAAACUAUGGCACAUCUACUAAGGACAGUGAAUAAAUCUAUCCAAAGAGCAUCGAAGUUUUCUAUCACCCCAUUUUUCUGUUAGUUCCUCAUCAGGCAAAAUACAGGCUAAGCAAGCUUAUAUUAAUUAAUCUUCCAAAUCAAUUGCAUGUGACCGAACAAGUCUAACAAAGCACUAGCAUAGAAUUAAUUACUAAACAUAGCAGGAAAAGACAAUCGAAUGAAAGCCAAAUAUUCACAGGACUAGCAUGGUAAAUGUCACAGUAAAAGAUAAUGAAGCUUUCAAACAGUCAUUCAUGUGCUUAAACAACCAGAAGGAAAAGAAAAUGCACCAAAACUUGCCGUUCGUCUACUAAAAUAUUUUUAGGAGUCAAGUAAGUUAGACACAAAAUGACCAUUUACAGAAAGCAUGGAAAAGAACCUCGGACAAAGCUAUAGAAGUGCUAGUCAAUCACUUUCACUGUUUUUUAAUCUUCACUAUCAAAAGUUUACUCCGAACAGAAAGAAUAUUUCAUUGGAACGAAUACUCCAAACAGUCAACACAAAUUCACAUGAUGGUAUUGCAGCAAUAUGUAACCCAAAUAAAACUAGCCAUGACUCAAACUUCAGAAAACUCAUCACAAAAAGCUGAAGAGGGAACAAUAAUAGGAAUAACACAUAUUACACUAAGAUGAACUAACAAACUCCAGCCAUCAUUAGUGUUUUAAUUCACACUCUUAGACAUAAGAAGAAAAGAGAAAGAGAUGAACCUGUUAAAGCUUUUCAAUUAAUCUCUCGGAAAAUUACAACAGUUAAAAUGAGCAACGACGACGAACUGCAACCGGAAGACUCGAACAGCAAUUCCACAAAUCGAACAUCCAACUCUGCUUCACUCCGUUUCGAAAAUCCGAAUCACAAAGAAGAGACCACAAUAUUUGUUUUCGUCAUUUUAAAAUUGAAUCAAAAUCAGAGAAUCAGGACCAAACCAUUAAACCUUUCCUAUUUUUUCUAAAAAAAAUCUCUAUUUCGAUUUUUCCUCCUCUCCAAGACUCCCUAUUUUCUGAUUAUUUUUUUUUUUGAUUUUUUUUUUUUUGACUCUUUGAAAUAAAAGAAAAAAACAGAAGCAAACCCAGAAAAAGGAAAAAUAGAUCUCUGAAAAUCAAACCCUCCUCUUUUCUCCAAUUUUCUCUGUCUCCUUUCAAUCUCUAUCCAGACCCAAAUAUAUAGCACCCUCCCGAAGCUUCUCUCCUUCCUCUGCAAGAAAUCGC
rnacentral:lncRNA from 1 species